AUUCUACUCCCUCCGUUGCACAAUACAUGCCUUCUAUUUGUCAAAAUAUAUAUGUAUCUAGACAUGUUUUAGUAUAUAGGCACAUCCAUUUUUGGACAAAUGGAAGUCAAGUAUUUUGGAACGGAGGGAGUA
rnacentral:pre_miRNA from 1 species